GUUCUUCUGCGACGUUGGUGACUGCCAAUAACGUUUUUUGAUCUAUUCCUUUUGAACAUGGGAACCGACCGCUGGGCGGCAGUAUACCGGGCUUGUACUCGGAAACUUUAAGUCACAGCACAUUGGUACCCACCUGGUGUUUUAACCAGGUCAAAAACUGAGGUAAGACGGCGUUGCGGGGAGCCU
rnacentral:other from 1 species